ACAAAUCACGUUGGAUGAAAGUGCCUGCUGAACGAAUUAAUGUGUAGAAAUGUGAAAUAGCCAGAAGCGUCAACACCCACUGCUGUUUCCUCCAAUGCGCCACAUCAACUGGCCUUCAACAUCCUUGAAAUGUCUUUUUGGGUUUUAACACUACAGCUUAACAUGCACCGCUCUAGCGGAGAGGGUCUACAAGCGCACGCACAUCUCUUUGUAACUCUUGCGCACGUCGGACGACGGCCUGAAGUAUUUUAGCCUUCCUUCUGCUGAUGUGUUGUUUAUUUUUCAUGAAGCGCGCGUGGUGAAUAAUUCAUGUUAAAUCCCUGGGUGUUUCUUCUGUUGUGUUUCUCCGGAUGGUUCUGAACAUGAGUCGGUUCUCCGUGUAGACCUGUGCAGAGGCACGCGGCCCGUUCUGUUGCCCUGUGCUGCUCGGAACCCUGCAAUUGGAUCUGAGACCCGUGGAUGCUGUUCUGCUCAAAUCACCGACGAGCGUGUGGACGCAGCUAAUCCCUAUUGUUGCUGUUGUUGUCUCCAAAGGCGCCCGUCUUCUCCACGCUGCCGUAACUUCUCAAAUCCGAGCUCAGCGCUGCGUGGAAAACCUGUGAUUACAUUUUAAAGGGCCCCAGUGCCCAGAUCCUCUCUAACACGCUUCAAGCCAACCUCCACGAGUCUGUUUGAGCCUCGACUCAGGGCUGCCGUGUUGAAGUGAAGCAGCAUUACCUCGGCCCACGUUUGCCAACAACUUUGUGUGUGUUUUUUUUUUUUUAACUGUAUUUUUUUCCGUUUGAGCUCCUCCUGAUAGUUCCUCGUGAUGAAGGUGAUUACAGCCCUGUGGUGGGCCACUUCACAGACGUGAGGGAGGAGGAGGCAAUAUGAGGGGCUCUUAAAGCUCAGGGAUACUGACAGAAUCCUAUCAAGGCUAAUAGUCUCGGGUCUCCUGUAGGCCAUAUCACCACUCUCGCCGUCCUUGGGAACCCAUUAAUGCUGAUGGCGCUCAUCUAAAACGUAGGUGUGUGAUUACACUCUCGUUAAUGAGGGAAACCAGUGGACGUUUACGGCCUCCCUGGAAACUAACACAGGAAAGUUGGGCAGAGAGGUGGAAAAGUUGGACCUGGCGCUGCUAACUUUGCCAUUAGCGACCAAAGCACUCAGGGGCAACCGCAGGGGAUGCUACAGUACUCUUUUUUUUAAAGUCUCACAGUUGCUCUACAGUGUUUAAUACAUCACUGUGCCAGCAUUGAGAAAAACAACAUGGUUUUCAGGGUUGAUUUAGAUUGCUAUUUAUC
ensembl:lncRNA